ensembl:lncRNA
AAAAAAUGACUGUAAACAGCGACGGUGUGCAUUGCUCUUCACGAAACUCUCUGUUCUUCAUAAUUUUAAUGUGACAGCCAGACCUGUACCGUGGGUGAAUGAAGAGGUCGAGACUUUGUCUUUGGUGGUGGACCAAAGAAUACAGAGAGAGCUGGACGGAGAAAGUUUAUCAGGAGGUCUCUGAGCGGAUGGCCGCUCACAUAUACAGUAGACUGUAUAUAAAGAGGACAGAAGCAGUGUAGGGAGAAGCUGAAAAAGCUCAAAAGUGACUAUCGGUCCACCCAGGACCACAACGGCCGGCGUGGGUCAACCAGGAGGUGUUGGAAGAGGUUUCAUGGAAGCUAUUUACUGGCACCGCACCGGCGAGCAACAGGAGGAAGACUCAGCCGCUGCAUUGUUGGAGACGUUCGAGAACGAAUCCCUUUCCACAUGCGAAGCCUACUCCACCUCCGUCGCGGAGCCCCCGGCUGCCCUGUCUCCUCUCCACCACCAGCAGCAGCUCCUCUCCAGCACCAGCUUCGACACCGACCCUGUCAACAGCACCGUCUUAUCACCGGCAAGAGGAAAGGGGGCCACAGAAAACUGGACCUUCCUAGCGUACUUGUGGAGAUGCAGGCUGAGGAGGAGUGGAGUCAUGCCCAGCAUGAUGAGAACAUCUGGUUGCUCCUCAGCGAGGCAAGAGAGAAUGAAGCGGCCUUGCAGCGGGAGGAGAUGGCCCAGAAUACUGCCUUCAACCAGUCAUUCCUGGGUGUGCUGGGGUAGCUGGGUAGGCAGUGGGCAGCCGGCGAGUGUGAGCGAGUCCACCUCCCAUAGACUUGAGAUUUACAAGUGCUGGUCAUAUAAUUAGAAUAUCAUGAAAAAGCUUGUCUUUUGGACAACUGUCAGGUCAGCAGUCUUCCCCAUGAUUGUGUAGCCUACAGAACUAGGCUGAGAGACCAUAUAAAGGCCUUUGCAGGUGUUUUGAGUUAAUUAGCUGAUUAGAGGUGUCUUCAAUAUUGAACCUUUCUACAAUAUUCUAAUUUUCAGAGAUACCAAAUUUGAGAUUUUUGUUAGUAUUCAGGUAUAAUCAUCAAAGUUAAGAG